rnacentral:lncRNA from 1 species
AAACAAGAAUGUGUCCCCAGUACACGAAUGCCCCACUCGCACUAUCAUUUUCUAUGUUCAUUGGACCGUGAAAUUGGGGUAAACCCUCUAAUUUGGCAUUAAAAUUAGAAAGAUCAUAUCAUACAGAACAUGUGUACUAAGUUUGAAGUCGAUUGGACUUCAACUUCAUCAAAAACUACCUCGACCAAAAACUUUAACCUGAAGCGGGACAGACGGACGAUCGAACGGACGCACAGACCAGAAAACAUAAUGCCC